GUGGUACUGUGGUAUUGUGGUACUGUGGUAUUGUGGUACGACGGUACUGUGGUAUUGUGGUACUACGGUACUGUGUGCCACAGUACCAUAGUACCACAGUACCACAAUACCACAG
rnacentral:miRNA from 1 species